UAUAGAUGAAGAUAAACUGUAAACAGCAAAAAUGAUCAGCAAAGUAAGAUCUACAAAUAGGUUAAUAUGACCAAAAUUGUCAAUUGACCCCUUAAGGGGUAAAUGUCCUUUAAUGACAAUUUUUCACAAUUUAUUCAUCAUAUUUGCUAACUUUAAAAAAUCUUCUCCUCUGAAACUACUGAAUGGAUUUGGAUGAAACUUAGCAUGAUAGUUCCUUAGAUUAUCCUGCACAAAGUGUGUGCUUCGAUUUUUGAUCCGUCAAAAAACAUGGCCGCCCUUACUUUAAAUAGAACAUAGGGGUCAAAUGCAGUUUUUGGCUUAUAUCUCAAAAACGAAAGCAUUUAGAGCAAAUCUGACAUGGGGUAAAAAUGUUCAUUAGGUCAAGAUCUAUCAGCCCUGAAAAUUUCAGACGAAUCAAACAAACCAUUGUUGGGUUGCUGCCACUUAAUUGGUAAUUUUAAGGAAAUUUUGCAGUUUUUGGUCAUUAUCUUGAAUAUCAUUAUAGAUAAAGAUAAACUGUAAACAGCAAAAAUGAUCAGCAAAGUAAGAUCUACAAAUAGGUUUAUAUGACCAAAAUUGUCAAUUGACCCCUUUUGGGGUAAAUGUCCUUUAAUGACAAUUUUUCACAAUUUGUUCAUCAUAUUUGCUAACUUUAAAAAAUCUUCUCCUCUGAAACUACUGAAUGGAUUUGGAUGAAACUUAGCAUGAUAGUUCCUUAGAUUAUCCUGCACAAAGUGUGUGCUUCGAUUUUUGAUCCGUCAAAAAACAUGGCCGCCCUUACUUUAAAU
rnacentral:lncRNA from 1 species